rnacentral:piRNA from 1 species
GUUUCAGACCAUGGGUCUUCUGAACGGCGUGC